rnacentral:snRNA from 1 species
AUACUUACCUAGCAGGGAGAUACCACGAUAAUGAAGGUGGUUUUCCCAGGGUAAGGCUUAUGCACUGCACUCCAGAUGUGCUGACACCUGUAAUUUCCCCAAAUGUCAGAAACUCAAUUGCAAAAAAUAA